rnacentral:rRNA from 1 species
AUGAACGCUGGCGGCGUGCCUAAUACAUGCAAGUCGAGCGAACAGAUGAGGAGCUUGCUCCUCUGACGUUAGCGGCGGACGGGUGAGUAACACGUGGAUAACCUACCUAUAAGACUGGGAUAACUUCGGGAAACCGGAGCUAAUACCGGAUAAUAUAUUGAACCGCAUGGUUCAAUAGUGAAAGACGGUUUUGCUGUCACUUAUAGAUGGAUCCGCGCCGCAUUAGCUAGUUGGUAAGGUAACGGCUUACCAAGGCAACGAUGCGUAGCCGACCUGAGAGGGUGAUCGGCCACACUGGAACUGAGACACGGUCCAGACUCCUACGGGAGGCAGCAGUAGGGAAUCUUCCGCAAUGGGCGAAAGCCUGACGGAGCAACGCCGCGUGAGUGAUGAAGGUCUUCGGAUCGUAAAACUCUGUUAUUAGGGAAGAACAAAUGUGUAAGAAACUAUGCACGUCUUGACGGUACCUAAUCAGAAAGCCACGGCUAACUACGUG